rnacentral:rRNA from 1 species
AACGUAGGAGGCGAGCGUUAUCCGGAUUUACUGGGUGUAAAGCGCGUGCAGGCGGUCGGCUAAGUUGGGUGUGAAAGCUCCUGGCUCAACUGGGAGAGGUCGCUCAAGACUGGCCGACUGGAGAGCAGUAAGGGAAGGUGGAAUUCCGGGUGUAGUGGUGAAAUGCGUAGAUAUCCGGAGGAACACCAGUGGCGAAGGCGGCCUUCUGGACUGCUUCUGACGCUCAUGCACGAAAGCGUGGGGAGCAAACAGG